rnacentral:rRNA from 1 species
UCCGUAGGCGGGCAGCUAAGUCAGUGGUGAAAGUCUGCAGCUCAACUGUAGAAUUGCCAUUGAUACUGGUUGUCUUGAAUUAUUAUGAAGUGGUUAGAAUAUGUAGUGUAGCGGUGAAAUGCAUAGAUAUUACAUAGAAUACCAAUUGCGAAGGCAGAUCACUAAUAAUAUAUUGACGCUGAUGGACGAAAGCGUGGGGAGCGAACAGGGUUAGAUACCCUGGUAGUCC